CUGAAUACUACUUAAUGCGAGGCGGUUCGGAACAGUUGAUCAUCCUGUAUUGGUUUCAUACUCGAGUUGAUCUUGAAUCACCCUUCCUCCGGGAAGGGACCACUGCAUAAAUAUGGGCGUCGUUUUAUCUUGCCAGGCUAUCUGUGUGAUUUUCGCCAGCUGGUCUCGACAUGACAUACCGCGCUUUCUCAAGCCACUCCACGAAACCAGGCCAAGCUUCACGGCGAUCAUUGCUCUGCGACCAAGCAGGUUGGGCCUGGGUAGUACUUGAUGAAUUGGCUUCUGGAACUGAUUCUUAGGAGACGAUAAAUAUAUCCCGAAAUUUAUCACGAAACCAGUCGGACUGUUUUGGAGCGGGCCAGAAGUAUCUUGGGACUUGACGAAAAGAAAGUGGUUUAUGCCGUGAUCUUUCGGGGAAUAACGUUGACCAUUGGCGAGUGAGACGGAGGACGAACACAAUGUGCAUGUGGUGGGAGAUGUGCCUCCGGCACGAAACUUGAUGGGAUUGAAACAACGAUGAGUCUUCCAUCAUUCUGUGGGAGCCUAAAAGCGCCUUUAUCAGACGAGCCAGUUCCCAGGACACACGAUGCUGGAGCUGGAAAGACUGGGCAAUUUUUUUGUUGAAGCCAGGUCCCUCGUAAUAGCGUCAAGCCUACUUCUAGGACGGUCGAAUUCAAAAUUAUACAUUCAAUGACAGUCUUGUAUUGUUGAUUCGAAAUGACAUAUAUCUGUUAAUAUUCACUGGCCGGUACUCGAAAAUGACUAUAACUGGACACAUAUGAAAAGAG
rnacentral:sRNA from 1 species